AAAGUACUCCCUCCGUCCCAAAAUUCUUGUCUUAGAUUUGUCUAGAUACGGAUGUAUCAUGUCACAUUUUAGUAUUAGAUACAUCCGUAUCUAGACAAAUCUAAGACAAGAAAUUUGGGAUAGAGGGAGUAGUUG
rnacentral:pre_miRNA from 1 species